UAAAAAACCCAAAAAAUAACAAAUUAGCGGAAAAUAUCCAAAAAACACUGUUCCAUUAAAAUUUUCUAAAACUCUUGAAGAUUUUUUAUUUCUGAAACAAUCCAUAGAUAAUCGGAGGUUUGAAAUGGCUUAAACCGGUUGGUUUCAAGUGUUUAGGUUCGAGUUUUUGGUUGCAUUUGAUUACUGGACAUUAUUGGAUCCUUCUGCUGGUUGGAGUUUGGUUCAAAACUGGUUUUCCUUCCGUUAUUUUUGGGCUGUGUUGUUGCUGUGUUGUUCAGCUGCUGACCUUUUGCUGUUUAUUUCAUUUUCCAGGUACAUUUUACACUCCACCUCAUGUGUAAACUGAUUUGAUGAAUGAAGAUGGAAAUUCUGCAAUUUCAAUAUGUUUUCAGCCUUCUACUAUGAAUUUAACCUUGUUACUGUUUCAUUUAUGGGUUCUACAACUUAGAUCAUUGCCCUUUUGUAAUUAAUUUUAAUCUGAGUAAAUGUUUUGCGAGCUAUCUAUUUCUGUUCUGUUUUUUUUCUGAUUAUUUCACUUGUGCCCUUUGUUUUGGUAUAUCAGUCAAUGAUAUAACAUGAACACUGAAGGCUCAUUUUAAGGCUGCAAGUAGGUCUUUCGUUUUCCAUUUGUUGAUCUUAAUUAUUAUUGACUUAUCUUUCGUGAGUUUUAUGAGAAUCAUGCUUAUCCAAUUAACUUAGUAUUGGGUGUUUGUUUGUUCUCUGAUCUCUCAAAGUUUGAAGUAGUUUGGAAUUUGCCAAUUAACAAAUCAAGUCUGUUGAUUUUAAAUGUGCUUG
rnacentral:lncRNA from 1 species